UACGUAGGGGGCAAGCGUUGUCCGGAUUUAUUGGGCGUAAAGAGCGUGUAGGCGGCCGCACAGGUCCGUUGUGAAAACUGGAGGCUUAACCUUCAGACGUCGAUGGAAACCGUGCGGCUAGAGUCCGGAAGAGGAGAAUGGAAGUUCCUGGUGUAGCGGUGAAAUGCGCAGAUAUCAGGAGGAACACCAAUGGCGAAGGCAGCUCGCUGGGACGUAACUGACGCUGAGGUGCGAAAGCGUGGGUAGCGAACGGG
rnacentral:rRNA from 1 species